AUAUCCGCGUUUUACCCGAUCGGGUAAAACGCGGAUAUGGUGUAAAAUAUGCUUUUCGGCUCUUUGAAAGGCAUAUCCGCGUUUUACCCGAUCGGGUAAAACGCGGAUAUGGUGUAAAAUAUGCUUUUCGGCUCUUUGAAAGGCAUAUCCGCGUUUUACCCGAUCGGGUAAAACGCGGAUAUGGUGUAAAAUAUGCUUUUUGGCUCUUUGAAAGGCAUAUCCGCGUUUUACCCGAUCGGGUAAACCGCGGAUAUGCCUUUGAAAGAGCCGAUAAGUAUAUUUUACACCAUAUCCGCGUUUUACCCGAACGGGUAAAACGCGGAUAUGCCUUUCAAAGAGCCGAAAAGUAUAUUUUGCACCAUAUCCGCGUUUUAC